AACGCUGGCGGUAUGCUUAACACAUGCAAGUCGAACGGAAACGAUACUAGCUUGCUAGUAGGCGUCGAGUGGCGGACGGGUGAGUAACGCGUAGGAAUCUGCCUGAUAGUGGGGGAUAGCCCGAAGAAAUUCGGAUUAAUACCGCAUAAUCUAUUCGUAGUAAAGUGGGGGACUUUCGAGCCUCACGCUAUCAGAUGAGCCUGCGUAAGAUUAGCUUGUUGGUAGGGUAAAAGCCUACCAAGGCGACGAUCUUUAGCUGGUCUGAGAGGAUGAUCAGCCACAUCGGGACUGAGACACGGCCCGAACUCCUACGGGAGGCAGCAGUGGGGAAUAUUGGACAAUGGGGGCAACCCUGAUCCAGCAAUACCGCGUGUGUGAAGAAGGCCUGAGGGUUGUAAAGCACUUUCAAUUGUGAAGAAAAGUUAGCGGUUAAUAACCGUUAGCCUUGACGUUAACUUUAGAAGAAGCACCGGCUAACUCCGUGCCAGCAGCCGCGGUAAUACGGAGGGUGCAAGCGUUAAUCGGAAUUACUGGGCGUAAAGCGUGCGUAGGCGGUUUAUUAAGUCAGAUGUGAAAGCCCCGGGCUUAACCUGGGAACUGCAUUUGAAACUGGUCAACUAGAGUAUGGUAGAGGAAAGUGGAAUUUCUGGUGUAGCGGUGAAAUGCGUAGAUAUCAGAAGGAACAUCAAUGGCGAAGGCAGCUUUCUGGACCAAUACUGACGCUGAGGUACGAAAGCGUGGGUA
rnacentral:rRNA from 1 species